rnacentral:rRNA from 1 species
UACGAACCGUCCAAACGUUAUUCGGAAUCACUGGGCUUACAGAGUUCGUAGGCGGUCUGGUAAGUUGGGUGUGAAAGCCCUCGGCUCAACCGAGGAAUUGCGCUCUAAACUGUCGUGCUCGAGGAAUCUAGAGGUGAGCGGAACUGAUGGUGGAGCGGUGAAAUGCGUUGAUAUCAGCAGGAACACCGGAGGCGAAGGCGGCUCACUGGGGAUUUUCUGACGCUGAGGAACGAAAGCCAGGGGAGCGAACGGG